rnacentral:rRNA from 1 species
GAUGAACGCUGGCGGCGUGCUUAACACAUGCAAGUCGAACGAAGCACUUUAACCUGAUUCUUCGGAUGAAGGUUUUUGUGACUGAGUGGCGGACGGGUGAGUAACGCGUGGGUAACCUGCCUCAUACAGGGGGAUAACAGUUAGAAAUGACUGCUAAUACCGCAUAAGACCACAGAGCCGCAUGGCUCGGUGGGAAAAACUCCGGUGGUAUGAGAUGGACCCGCGUCUGAUUAGGUAGUUGGUGGGGUAACGGCCUACCAAGCCAACGAUCAGUAGCCGACCUGAGAGGGUGACCGGCCACAUUGGGACUGAGACACGGCCCAAACUCCUACGGGAGGCAGCAGUGGGGAAUAUUGCACAAUGGGGGAAACCCUGAUGCAGCGACGCCGCGUGAGCGAAGAAGUAUUUCGGUAUGUAAAGCUCUACCAGCAGGGAAGAAAAUGACGGUACCUGACUAAGAAGCACCGGCUAAAUACGUG